UGAACGAAGGUCUUACGGGUGUAGAACAACAUGAGGGUGAGUAAUAAAUGACAUUAUUUUCAUUUUUGGGUGAAUUAACCCUUUAAGUUUUAGUCUGGUUUUGACAUCAAAACAUAAAUGGACUGUAAUCAGACGAAUCUUUUCCUGAAAAUAAGAACAAUGAUUUUACAAGACUUUACACGUUGUCGGUAAUGAAGCAUCUACUGUAAAUGUAAGAUUGUGCAUGUAAACGCACUCAGUUAAGCAGUUGUCAUCUCUAAGAAAGGUCACUUGCCUAGUUGGUAUGUCCUUAAUAAAUCAAUAUAUAUUUCUGACAUACUACCUCACUGCUAUCUGAAGUUGUUAAAUAUAGUAAUUACUGAGUCCAAAACAAAUUUAUUGUUGACCCAUUUGGCCGAAGCAUUUGAGGUAGAAGUUUGCAUUGCACAAUUCAUUAUAAACCCAAUGUUUUGCUUAGCAUCUCGAAUUUCGUAUUUUUUUGCACUUCACCUUUGUUAUCUAAGAGCCAAAUUUGCUCUUUGAACAUCAUGUAUCUUUAGGUCUGGUCAGACUAGUAGACAAACUGACCUUUAGUACUGAUGGACCCAUAAUAGUGUCACUAAGAUAAAACACGAGACAGUAUAAAGCUGAUUUGAGGUGGGUAUCAGAUGCUUGUUUGUUCAUACUUUCCAUUGUGUUUCCUGCCAUAUUCAUAGUCUAAACCCUGCUGGUUGACAUUUUUCUCUCGUUUUUCUUUUUGCACCCUAAUUAGGGAUUCUGGUGGAGAACUAUAUAGGAAAGAAGGCCAUCAGUUGGAUGUGCUGAUCUGGCGUUUCUCAUACUCCGACUGUUUGUCUGCCAUCUAGCUGAUGUAAGACCAGCCCGUGGCGUGACAUACUGAAACUUCCAGGCAGUAUGAUGGAGUUUUGGAGGACCGUAAAACCAACGGUGUAGCAGAUAUGAGCAGACGGGCCGAUGCAAAUGAUUGGGCGAGCUGGCUCCCCCCGUCCCCUGUGUCUGGUUAUUGAUUGGUUAAUGCAGGAUGUCAGCGAGUCCGUUCGAGAGCGACGCCCUCUCUCCCCCCGACCAUUUAUCAGCACGCCAUCAGCUCUCCACGGAAGAGCAGCGCAUCAGGAUGAAUGCUAAUCAAUUCAGUGGAGAGAGAGAGAAAGACGAGAUGCGGGGUGUGAGAUUAGAUGAGAGGAGGAGAGAGGAUAUGAGACGAGAGGCGAGCUAAGGUUCUUAACCCUUCACCUUGUCCUAACACAACCUAUGUUUCCCACAGAUGUCUGUGUAUAGCUUAAAUAUGGCUCAGAUGUUGAUGUUUUUGAUGUCUGACAGUGCUGUGCAGGGACAUUUAUUCCUCAGUGCCACUGUGAAAACAAAUGCUAAAAAGGAUGCAAAAUUAUUUCUCUUUCUGUUGUUUUGUAUAGCCAUUUUGUCCAAAACUCCAAUUAAAGGUUUGUUUACCACUCUGCGGUUGGUCGCUAAUAAGAAAUUAGCAAACUGGAUGAUUUACAGCAUUGCACAAGAAGUUGCUUUUAUGCUAAAGCUAUUAGCAAUUAAAUAAAUACUGGUAGAGGCUAAAGGCUAAUUUCUUCCUGCUCUGAUUUGAUCUCCAAACGGUCUUAUUAAUUCACCUUGUGGUGCAUCGGUAACAGUCAAAUAAACAGAUGUGUGUGUGUGUGUGUGUGUGUGUGUGUGUGUGUGUGUGUGUGAGAGUGUGGUUGAGUUGGCUGUAGGAGGUUGUUAGCGUGCUAAUCUGAGGGUAUAGUGCAUAUAACGUCAUGUCCGCUAAUCUGGCCUGCAUGUGCGUGUAUCUAGGUCAGAUUCUUCCUACAUUAUCCCUGGAAUGACACCAAUCAGAGAGCCUGAGAGAGACCGACUGAGGGUGAGACAAGUGGCUAGACAGAAACAGGCAGAAAGGGAGAGAGACAGAAGAGAGAAAGAAAAGCUGAAAGAGAGACUGACAGACAGAGGAAGAGAGAAAGAAUAAGACAGACAGGCAUAAACUGACAGAUAAGACAAGCUGAGAGACAGACAGGAAGAGAAAUGGAAAUAAAGACAAAGAGGCAGGCAGAAAGAGAAACAGAAAGAGACAGACAGAAAGACAGGCCAAGAACCAGAAUGUGAGAGAAAGACAGGCAGAGAGGGUGAAAGAUAUAAAGAAAGAAAAGCUGAGAGAGACAGACAGUGAAAUAAAGGGAAAAGAGAUGGAUAUACAGUGGUGAUCAGAAUUAUUGACACCCUUGGUAAAUAUGAUCAAAGAUGACUAUAAAAAUAAAUCUGCAUUGUUUAUCCUUUUGAUCUUUAAUUAAUAAAAUGAGCAAAAAUCUAACCUUUCAUUGAAGGAAAAGAAUUGAAAGUGGGG